GAAGAUCGGCCAGUUCGCCCCGAUCCGUUCGUUCUCAACGUCCUGUCGUAUAAUUGUUACAAACGUAUUUCUCUUCUCUUCAGAUGAAGAUGGAAAGAAAAAUUCUUCCCUCUUUCGAAACACUCGUUUCCGGGCUCAACGACUCCUGGCUCUGUAACACUUGGGCUGGUUUCGCGAGACAGAUCUGGCAGAUCAUCGUGCACAACACGAACAACGAGAGGAUACGCGUCGUCAUUUCGACGAGGGUCAAACCUGGAUUCGAGUGAUUCGCGCGAAGAGAAGCGUAGAAAAAUAAUCGUAGGAAUUCGUUGCGAGCGCGAUGCUUUUAUACGAGGAACCCUUCACCGCCGAAAUCCAACGAAGACAUAAUAAUAAUAUCCAUCAUAUAUUCCAUAAUAUUCCAUCAUUUCUAGAGAUCACUGUCCAUGCUCGUCAUUGGCUUUUAACGAGUGGACGACCUUACUCUCCAGGGACGAACGAAAGUGGAUCUCAGGAAAGUGUCGGCCGCUAAUCAGCUUCGGAGAAUCAUGCGAUGAAAAAGGCAAAAAAAAAAAAAAAAAAAAAAAGAAAAAAAAGAAAAGAAAAGAAUUCAAAAAAGAGAGAUAAAGAGAGGAAUAUCGAAAGAUAACGAACAUUUUGUCAAUAAUCUGUGUACAAGUGAGGCAUGCUGUCUUCAAAGGGCAAUUUGUACGAAUUGACCUUCGUGUUCGAUCCCGUGAACCUUUGUGGACGUAGAUGAUGGAUGAGACUAAGAAGUUACUAAUCUUUUCUCUUGAGCUUUCUUCUUGCCCUCGCUUCGAAACUGGAAAAAAUUCCUGGCACGUUAAUUGAACAGAUAGAAGAGGUUGUAUGAAUAUCGUUGAACGUGAAAUUUUAAUUAUUCAAUUUUAAUUCACGAAUAUGAAAGAUAUAAAAAAAACACUCACUUUUCAACGAAGAAAUUUCAUUUUCGAAGGACGAAGAAUCGAUAUCCAUCGUUGCAGCGACGGAUAUAAGAAAUAGCAGGAAAAUAACUUCGUUCACACCCAAGAUUUAUACCAGAACUGAACGCAUCCGAAUUUCGAAGCUUUCCUUUUAAAGGAAUUUUCUUGCCAUUAUUGGGGAUGCUUUUGAGAAAUUGAAAGUUUCAGCCAAGUAAGUAACGGUAAAAUCUUUGACCUGGCAACCCUACCUGGAAUUUUAGGAAAGUAAUUAAAGAUCAAUAAAAUCAAGGGACCGAAUUAGCGGAACAAUGGAGUUCUUCUAAAGAACUUUUCUUUCACGGUGAAAAAUCGAGGAAAAUUAUUUAAAGCAAAAGCAAUUAAUGGAAGGUAAAAAAAAAAAAAAAAGAACAAGUAAAUAGUUCCAGGUCACAUUUUUCUUAAAGAAAUGUGAAAUAUAUAUAUAAAUAAAUAGACAGGAAUUUUUUUCGAUUUUUAAAAAAUUUGUUUCGAUCAAAGUUAGUCUUAGAUCUUUAAGAAUGUCAUUGCCACGUGUCGUCGUCGUUGAGGAUUUCCACGUAAAGAUUAUAUCAGACGCAAAUUAUGCCUGCGCGUUCGAUAUAUAAUGAACAUGAUGGCGGAAAGUGUAAUGGGAAAAUGAAAAAGUGACAGAGUCACCAAUAAUAGUUAUUUAUGAUCGUCGUUCAAUGUUGCCGUUUGUCAAUGUUUCAUAAGCAUUAUGAACCACGAAACAAGCGUAUUUGCACAUCGACCAAUAUAGUUUCUUAAGAGAAAUUUGUAAAAAUUAUCGUAUUACACGAAUUGAUAAGAAAAGUAAAAUAUGCAACUCGUUUUACGUAAGAAUCUCAACAAAUUUGAUGAGUAAAUGGUUUACUUAAUAAAAGGCGUGUAUUUAAAAAUGGAUUAAAAUAAAUUAAACGGAAGAUUUUGUAAUUCUGUCACUUAACGAUUCCAGUUACGCUUAUCUAAUAGUUUUUUAAUGAACUAAGGUCAAAGAUAUCCGCCGAUAUAUAUAAAAAAGAAAAAGAAAAAGAAAAAGAAAAGAGAGAAUUUAAAAUUUUAUAUGAGUUCUUAUACGCUUUAAUGACGGAAAUAAAAAUAAAUAUUCAAUAAUAUUUAUAUUGCGUAAGAGCGUGAAGUAUGAUAAGCUAGAAUAAUAGAUGGAAACUCCGUGGAAGUCGUAAAAUAAAUGAUACUUAAUUUAAAAAACAAUUGUCGGUAAUUACGCGCAAAUUAUGAGAAUUCGCGUGCACAGAUAUCAAUAAUAGGAGACAAAUAUACCGACAUAUUUUUGAU